AGCGCAUACGGUGGAUGCCUUGGCAGUCAGAGGCGAUGAAAGACGUGGUAGCCUGCGAAAAGCUUCGGGGAGUCGGCAAACAGACUGUGAUCCGGAGAUGUCUGAAUGGGGGAACCCAGCCAUCAUAAGAUGGUUAUCUUACACUGAAUACAUAGGUGUAAGAGGCGAACCAGGGGAACUGAAACAUCUAAGUACCCUGAGGAAAAGAAAUCAACCGAGAUUCCCUUAGUAGUGGCGAGCGAACGGGGACCAGCCCUUAAGUUGUAUUGAGAUUAGCGGAACGCUCUGGAAAGUGCGGCCAUAGUGGGUGAUAGCCCUGUACGCGAAAAUCCCUUUGCAAUGAAAUCGAGUAGGACGGGGCACGAGAAACCUUGUCUGAAUAUGGGGGGACCAUCCUCCAAGGCUAAAUACUACUGACUGACCGAUAGUGAACCAGUACCGUGAGGGAAAGGCGAAAAGAACCGCGGAGAGCGGAGUGAAAUAGAUCCUGAAACCGUAUGCGUACAAGCAGUGGGAGCCCACUUUGUUGGGUGACUGCGUACCUUUUGUAUAAUGGGUCAGCGACUUAUUUUCAGUGGCGAGCUUAACCGAAUAGGGGAGGCGUAGCGAAAGCGAGUCUUAAUAGGGCGUCUAGUCGCUGGGAAUAGACCCGAAACCGGGCGAUCUAUCCAUGGGCAGGUUGAAGGUUGGGUAACACUAACUGGAGGACCGAACCGACUACCGUUGAAAAGUUAGCGGAUGACCUGUGGAUCGGAGUGAAAGGCUAAUCAAGCUCGGAGAUAGCUGGUUCUCCUCGAAAGCUAUUUAGGUAGCGCCUCAUGUAUCACUGUAGGGGGUAGAGCACUGUUUCGGCUAGGGGGUCAUCCCGACUUACCAAACCGAUGCAAACUCCGAAUACCUACAAGUGCCGAGCAUGGGAGACACACGGCGGGUGCUAACGUCCGUCGUGAAAAGGGAAACAACCCAGACCGUCAGCUAAGGUCCCAAAGUCAUGGUUAAGUGGGAAACGAUGUGGGAAGGCUUAGACAGCUAGGAGGUUGGCUUAGAAGCAGCCACCCUUUAAAGAAAGCGUAAUAGCUCACUAGUCGAGUCGGCCUGCGCGGAAGAUGUAACGGGGCUCAAACCAUGCACCGAAGCUACGGGUAUCACCUUUGGUGAUGCGGUAGAGGAGCGUUCUGUAAGCCUGUGAAGGUGAGUUGAGAAGCUUGCUGGAGGUAUCAGAAGUGCGAAUGCUGACAUGAGUAACGACAAUGGGUGUGAAAAACACCCACGCCGAAAGACCAAGGUUUCCUGCGCAACGUUAAUCGACGCAGGGUUAGUCGGUCCCUAAGGCGAGGCUGAAAAGCGUAGUCGAUGGAAAACAGGUUAAUAUUCCUGUACUUCUGGUUAUUGCGAUGGAGGGACGGAGAAGGCUAGGCCAGCCUGGCGUUGGUAGUCCAGGUUUAAGGUGGUAGGCUGAGAUCUUAGGUAAAUCCGGGAUCUUAAGGCCGAGAGCUGAUGACGAGUGUUUUUUUAGAACAUGAAGUGGUUGAUGCCAUGCUUCCAAGAAAAGCUUCUAAGCUUCAGGUAACCAGGAACCGUACCCCAAACCGACACAGGUGGUUGGGUAGAGAAUACCAAGGCGCUUGAGAGAACUCGGGUGAAGGAACUAGGCAAAAUGGCACCGUAACUUCGGGAGAAGGUGCGCCGGUGAGGGUGAAGCAUUUACUGCGUAAGCCCACGCCGGUCGAAGAUACCAGGCCGCUGCGACUGUUUAUUAAAAACACAGCACUCUGCAAACACGAAAGUGGACGUAUAGGGUGUGACGCCUGCCCGGUGCCGGAAGGUUAAUUGAUGGGGUUAGCGCAAGCGAAGCUCUUGAUCGAAGCCCCGGUAAACGGCGGCCGUAACUAUAACGGUCCUAAGGUAGCGAAAUUCCUUGUCGGGUAAGUUCCGACCUGCACGAAUGGCGUAACGAUGGCGGCGCUGUCUCCACCCGAGACUCAGUGAAAUUGAAAUCGCUGUGAAGAUGCAGUGUAUCCGCGGCUAGACGGAAAGACCCCGUGAACCUUUACUAUAGCUUUGCACUGGACUUUGAAUUUGCUUGUGUAGGAUAGGUGGGAGGCUUUGAAGCGUGGACGCCAGUCUGCGUGGAGCCAACCUUGAAAUACCACCCUGGCAACUUUGAGGUUCUAACUCAGGUCCGUUAUCCGGAUCGAGGACAGUGUAUGGUGGGUAGUUUGACUGGGGCGGUCUCCUCCUAAAGAGUAACGGAGGAGUACGAAGGUGCGCUCAGACCGGUCGGAAAUCGGUCGUAGAGUAUAAAGGCAAAAGCGCGCUUGACUGCGAGACAGACACGUCGAGCAGGUACGAAAGUAGGUCUUAGUGAUCCGGUGGUUCUGUAUGGAAGGGCCAUCGCUCAACGGAUAAAAGGUACUCCGGGGAUAACAGGCUGAUACCGCCCAAGAGUUCAUAUCGACGGCGGUGUUUGGCACCUCGAUGUCGGCUCAUCACAUCCUGGGGCUGAAGCCGGUCCCAAGGGUAUGGCUGUUCGCCAUUUAAAGUGGUACGCGAGCUGGGUUUAGAACGUCGUGAGACAGUUCGGUCCCUAUCUGCCGUGGACGUUUGAGAUUUGAGAGGGGCUGCUCCUAGUACGAGAGGACCGGAGUGGACGAACCUCUGGUGUUCCGGUUGUCACGCCAGUGGCAUUGCCGGGUAGCUAUGUUCGGAAAAGAUAACCGCUGAAAGCAUCUAAGCGGGAAACUUGCCUCAAGAUGAGAUCUCACUGGAACCUUGA
rnacentral:rRNA from 1 species